GACGAACCGAGCGAACGUUAUUCGGAAUCACUGGGCUUACAGGGUGCGUAGGCGGCUUGUUAAGUAGGGUGUGAAAGCCCCCGGCUCAACCGGGGAAUUGCGCCCUAAACUGGCGAGCUGGAGUGAGAUAGGGGUGUGUGGAACUUCCGGUGGAGCGGUGAAAUGUGUUGAUAUCGGAAGGAACGCCGGUGGCGAAAGCGACACACUGGAUCUUGUCUGACGCUGAGGCACGAAAGCCAGGGGAGCGAACGGG
rnacentral:rRNA from 1 species